GACGAACGCUGGCGGCGUGCUUAACACAUGCAAGUCGAACGGAAAGGCCCUGCUUUUGUGGGGUGCUCGAGUGGCGAACGGGUGAGUAACACGUGAGUAACCUGCCCUUGACUUUGGGAUAACUUCAGGAAACUGGGGCUAAUACCGGAUAGGAGCUCCUGCUGCAUGGUGGGGGUUGGAAAGUUUCGGCGGUUGGGGAUGGACUCGCGGCUUAUCAGCUUGUUGGUGGGGUAGUGGCUUACCAAGGCUUUGACGGGUAGCCGGCCUGAGAGGGUGACCGGCCACAUUGGGACUGAGAUACGGCCCAGACUCCUACGGGAGGCAGCAGUGGGGAAUAUUGCACAAUGGGCGGAAGCCUGAUGCAGCAACGCCGCGUGCGGGAUGACGGCCUUCGGGUGUAAACCGCUUUCGCCUGUGACGAAGCGUGAGUGACGGUAAUGGGUAAAGAAGCACCGGCUAACUACGUG
rnacentral:rRNA from 1 species